AUACGGAGGGUGCAAGCGUUAAUCGGAAUUACUGGGCGUAAAGCGUACGUAGGCGGUUCGUUAAGUUAGAUGUGAAAGCCCCGGGCUUAACCUGGGAACUGCAUUUAAAACUGGCGGACUAGAGUUGAGUAGAGGGGAGUGGAAUUUCAGGUGUAGCGGUGAAAUGCGUAGAGAUCUGAAGGAACACCAGUGGCGAAGGCGACUCCCUGGACUCGAACUGACGCUGAGGUACGAAAGCGUGGGUAGCAAACGGGAUUAGAUACCCCUGUAGUCC
rnacentral:rRNA from 1 species